AAGAGGCACUGGGGAGACUAAGGGAGACUCCGCAGCUCUGGGCUGUGCCGGGGCUUCAAGGGAACCAAUUUAGCGAACACCAGGAUUUCUGUGCUCGGACAGAGGGACCGGCUCUCUGGGAUGGGCAAGCCUUCUGAGUCAUGAAGGACCUGAGGGCUGCUCUGUCCCAUUGGCGAGACCAAAAGCUGACCCUUCAGAGGGAGUGGAUGGAUGCAUGGAGACAGAAUUUGCGGGACGUGACAUCUCAACUGUUGCUGCUGUGACAGCAGGCACAUGAUCUGCACAAGAUCAUGAAGCCCCACCCCUACCCAAGGAGAGACUGACAAUUGAUGGUCUGGGGGAGAGUCAAUUCUCUCUCUCUCUCUCUCUCUCUCUCUCUCUCUCUCUCUCUCUCCAGGGAUAUGGCCAACAAGAAUUUGUCUACCCACACUCCAGUAGGCAGCCCUACACCCAUGCACAAACAGCAAUAAGUAGAUUCAGAGUGUCUUUUAAAAAGCUUUAAAAAGUUUUUUAAAAAGUUGGGAAGAGGUCAGUCGGCCGAGUAUAGGAGAGAAGUUGUUGUAAGAGAAGCUGCAAGAAGGAUGGAGGAAGAAGAAGCUGCUGGGGAAGAGAGCUGUAAGGGAAAAAGCUCGAAGUAAAGAAGUUACUGCGUGAACCCGCCUUGGUGUCCACGUCGUUCCUGUCUCCGCCGGGUCAGAGACCGCGGAGACCGCGGCACUACCAUCCAUUUGGCUAUCAGGAGCUUCCCUGAAGAAUGAAAUGUUUCAAUCAUGGAGGAAACCACAACCCAGCACCUGCCUACCUGAUAUUUCUCUCAGAGUGACUGUUCUAUAGAUACAGCAUCACCAAGGCUCUUCAUGAAGCUUCUACAACCUCCUGAAACAGCACCAUCAGGUGAAGAACAAAGGCUGAGACACAUCAACCUGUAGCCAGUAGCAUUUCACAUUCAAGCCAUGGCAGGAUCCUCUGGUACAGCAGCUGUAGGAAGCCUGUACCUUCUUCAUCUGUAUCUAGCCAUAAUCCAGGAGACUAAGGCAGCCAGGAGAUGACUCCCAACAACCAUGGCCUGGUACAUUCAAUCUUUUCACAGCUGUCCCUUUACAUAGGGACAGGCUUGGGGUCUUCCCACCACCUGAGCCAUCCAACCACAAGAUGAUGAGUCAGACUGCAUCUUCCCAUUCUUCUGGUGACUCAAGGGUCACUCUAAGUAUUAUCUUCUCUCCUACCCUCAAGACCAAGCACGUGAGAAUCCUGGGUAUGGAUGAUUCUGUUCUCAGAAUAUGGCCAUCAAUAGUUUGAUGGUGGAGGUUGGAGAGAUGGCUCUGUGGUUAAGAGCACUGACUGCUCUUCAGAGGUCCUGAGUUCAAUUCCCAGCAAACACAUAGUGGCUCCCAACCAUCUGUAAUGGGAUCUGGUGCCCUCUUCGGGGGUGUCUGAAGAAAUCAAGUGUACUCAUCUACAUUAAAUAAAUAAACAAAUGUUUAACAACA